rnacentral:rRNA from 1 species
AGUGAACGCUGGCGGUAGGCCUAACACAUGCAAGUCGAACGGCAGCACAGUAAGAGCUUGCUCUUACGGGUGGCGAGUGGCGGACGGGUGAGGAAUACAUCGGAAUCUACUUUUUCGUGGGGGAUAACGUAGGGAAACUUACGCUAAUACCGCAUACGACCUACGGGUGAAAGCAGGGGAUCUUCGGACCUUGCGCGAUUGAAUGAGCCGAUGUCGGAUUAGCUAGUUGGCGGGGUAAAGGCCCACCAAGGCGACGAUCCGUAGCUGGUCUGAGAGGAUGAUCAGCCACACUGGAACUGAGACACGGUCCAGACUCAUACGGGAGGCAGCAGUGGGGAAUAUUGGACAAUGGGCGCAAGCCUGAUCCAGCCAUACAGCGUGGGUGAAGAAGGCCUUCGGGUUGUAAAGCCCUUUUGUUGGGAAAGAAAAGCAGCAGGUUAAUACCCCGCUGUUCUGACGGUACCCAAAGAAUAAGCACCGGCUAACUUCGU